rnacentral:rRNA from 1 species
CGUGAGGGAAAGGUGAAAAGCACCCCGGAAGGGGAGUGAAAUAGAACCUGAAACCGUGUGCUUACAAGUAGUCAGAGCCCGUUAAUGGGUGAUGGCGUGCCUUUUGUAGAAUGAACCGGCGAGUUACGAUUUGAUGCAAGGUUAAGCAGUAAAUGUGGAGCCGUAGCGAAAGCGAGUCUGAAUAGGGCGUUUAGUAUUUGGUCGUAGACCCGAAACCAGGUGAUCUACCCUUGGUCAGGUUGAAGUUCAGGUAACACUGAAUGGAGGACCGAACCGACUUACGUUGAAAAGUGAGCGGAUGAACUGAGGGUAGCGGAGAAAUUCCAAUCGAACCUGGAGAUAGCUGGUUCUCUCCGAAAUAGCUUUAGGGCUAGCCUCAAGUGAUGAUUAUUGGAGGUAGAGCACUGUUUGGACGAGGGGCCCCUCUCGGGUUACCGAAUUCAGACAAACUCCGAAUGCCAAUUAAUUUAACUUGGGAGUCAGAACAUGGGUGAUAAGGUCCGUGUUCGAAAGGGAAACAGCCCAGACCACCAGCUAAGGUCCCAAAAUAUAUGUUAAGUGGAAAAGGAUGUGGCGUUGCCCAGACAACUAGGAUGUUGGCUUAGAAGCAGCCAUCAUUUAAAGAGUGCGUAAUAGCUCACUAGUCGAGUGACACUGCGCCGAAAAUGUACCGGGGCUAAACAUAUUACCGAAGCUGUGGAUUGUCCUUUGGACAAUGGUAGGAGAGCGUUCUAAGGGCGUUGAAGCAUGAUCGUAAGGACAUGUGGAGCGCUUAGAAGUGAGAAUGCCGGUGUGAGUAGCGAAAGACGGGUGAGAAUCCCGUCCACCGAUUGACUAAGGUUUCCAGAGGAAGGCUCGUCCGCUCUGGGUUAGUCGGGUCCUAAGCUGAGGCCGACAGGCGUAGGCGAUGGAUAACAGGUUGAUAUUCCUGUACCACCUAUAAUCGUUUUAAUCGAUGGGGGGACGCAGUAGGAUAGGCGAAGCGUGCGAUUGGAUUGCACGUCUAAGCAGUAAGGCUGAGUAUUAGGCAAAUCCGGUACUCGUUAAGGCUGAGCUGUGAUGGGGAGAAGACAUUGUGUCUUCGAGUCGUUGAUUUCACACUGCCGAGAAAAGCCUCUAGAUAGAAAAUAGGUGCCCGUACCGCAAACCGACACAGGUAGUCAAGAUGAGAAUUCUAAGGUGAGCGAGCGAACUCUCGUUAAGGAACUCGGCAAAAUGACCCCGUAACUUCGGGAGAAGGGGUGCUCUUUAGGGUUAACGCCCAGAAGAGCCGCAGUGAAUAGGCCCAAGCGACUGUUUAUCAAAAACACAGGUCUCUGCUAAACCGUAAGGUGAUGUAUAGGGGCUGACGCCUGCCCGGUGCUGGAAGGUUAAGAGGAGUGGUUAGCUUCUGCGAAGCUACGAAUCGAAGCCCCAGUAAACGGCGGCCGUAACUAUAA